CCUGAGUACGACGGAGCACGUGAAAUUCCGUCGGAAUCUGGGAGGACCAUCUCCUAAGGCUAAAUACUCUCUAGUGACCGAUAGUGAACCAGUACCGUGAGGGAAAGGUGAAAAGCACCCCGGAAGGGGAGUGAAAUAGAACCUGAAACCGUGUGCUUACAAGUAGUCAGAGCCCGUUAAUGGGUGAUGGCGUGCCUUUUGUAGAAUGAACCGGCGAGUUACGAUUUGAUGCAAGGUUAAGCAGUAAAUGUGGAGCCGUAGCGAAAGCGAGUCUGAAUAGGGCGUUUAGUAUUUGGUCGUAGACCCGAAACCAGGUGAUCUACCCUUGGUCAGGUUGAAGUUCAGGUAACACUGAAUGGAGGACCGAACCGACUUACGUUGAAAAGUGAGCGGAUGAACUGAGGGUAGCGGAGAAAUUCCAAUCGAACCUGGAGAUAGCUGGUUCUCUCCGAAAUAGCUUUAGGGCUAGCCUCAAGUGAUGAUUAUUGGAGGUAGAGCACUGUUUGGACGAGGGGCCCCUCUCGGGUUACCGAAUUCAGACAAACUCCGAAUGCCAAUUAAUUUAACUUGGGAGUCAGAACAUGGGUGAUAAGGUCCGUGUUCGAAAGGGAAACAGCCCAGACCACCAGCUAAGGUCCCAAAAUAUAUGUUAAGUGGAAAAGGAUGUGGCGUUGCCCAGACAACUAGGAUGUUGGCUUAGAAGCAGCCAUCAUUUAAAGAGUGCGUAAUAGCUCACUAGUCGAGU
rnacentral:rRNA from 1 species